AAAGAGUUUCCUGUUCCGUUAUAAGGGUCCCAUUUAUCACUGGAUCGGUCUUAGAAAACCUCAAGAGGAUCGUUGGGAAUGGGCGAAUGGGCAAAUCUUCAACAACACACUGUUUGACAUUGUUGAAGGGGGGGACUGUGCCUACCUGAAUGACGUGAAGGUCAUGUCAUCGUGGUGCAAGACCAAGAAGAACUGGAUUUGCAGCAAGCCAGAUACUUACAUGCCACAAAGAAAGCUGUCAGAAGAGAGACGUGAAGCAGGGCCGUAACAAUGAAAAUUUUAAGUAAUGAGCUGUGUUAUCUUGCCAAGUUCAUGUGAAAACACAGUGUAUUUUAAAGAAUGAUUUUAUUUUGUUUUCUCCUUCAGAAUAGUCUAGUAUAACACAAUACUUUAUUUUCCCAUACUAUUUCUCACCUGCAUAUGGCUUUGAAAGCCAUUGUUUGUCAGCAUAACUUAGGUUUACAUUUCUCCCAUACAUUUAACAACAUACUCUCUGCACUUUGCCAAAAGGACCAAAAGCUCUUUUUCUCCCUUCUUAAAAAACAUUUUUCUAAUCCUGGUGUGACAAUGCCUAGUGCCGAGGGUGGUGGUGAUGAUGACAAUGAUGGGACAUUAAUAAUGUGUUAUCUUCUUCAUCUCUCUGAAAUUGGGAAACAUACUGAUGAUGAUAAGGUUAAAUGCACUCCUUUAAGCAGUCACCAGAGGGCGCUAUGCUACAGUACAUGCCUGGAGAGGCUUUACAAAGGAAGGACCUCAAGCUGGUACAGUCAUGAGAGAAUUUGAUUAGAACUUAGUCUGGAUGAUACCAAGAAAUAUAAGCAGAGUAUUGGUUAGUAAAGCUGUCAGAAAACUUACUUGGUUGAUUACAGAAAAGACUCUGAAUUCAUUGAUAAUUGGAAACCUUUGAUGGACUUUUUAUGCAAGACAGAAAAGAAUUUGUGGGUUUGAGGAAUAUAUGAUUAGGGAUUUAGCUACAUUAGAGAGAGGUGUGGCUGUUUGGGGGGAUAAUAUUUAAGAUUUGCAAUUACAACUCAAUCCAGAGCUGUCAGGUAGGUGGGGACAGCCCCACUUCGGCACUACUCUACCUGCUCCAGAGGGAUUUCCCAUGGCACGGGAAGCCUGAAAAAGUUUUUUAAAAACUCACCUAAAACUUCCCCUAGAGGAGAAUAGAGAUAUGCCAUGAAAAUUGUGGUGUAUCUCUGCUGGUGACUACACCAGUGUAUGGGGGCCAACUGGGCACUGGAAGCCAACCAAGGUUGGCCCCACCGUGCCAACACAGCUGGGGGUGGUGUGGGAAUGCCGACGUGAGGC